GGCGGGGUGGCCGAGUGGUUAGGCAGGGGUCUGCAAAACCCCGCACAGCGGUUCGAUUCCGCUCCCCGCCU
rnacentral:tRNA from 1 species